rnacentral:rRNA from 1 species
CCCAAAAGAUCGAAUGGGGAGAUUCAUCGUCAACGUGUCAAGUAUAUGUGCGAGUUAUGAUAUAGAUUAUCCUUGUGAUAUUAUUUAUACUUGCUUGUAUGUUUUAUUGYUGGGCAUUGUMGGCGUGCACUUCUCCCCUAGUAGGACGUCGCGACCCGUUGGAUGUAUCGGUCUAUGACUCGAAUGGUAGUCUUUGAUUUUUAUUAAUUAAAGACCAUCGAUGAUCUGAUCGUCGUCCGGCGGUAUUCGCACGGUAUUGAGCCGCAAUAUACAUUAAAUAUGCGUCGAACCCGUCGCAAGCGCGGUUAGUUACUCGGUAGUGCGAAUUUUAUUUCGUCACUGAGGCUGACCAGCUGU